AUACAGGGGGUGCGAGCGUUAAGCGGAAUUACUGGGCGUAAAGAGUACGUAGGCGGUUGCUUAAGUCAGAUGUGAAAGCCCCGGGCUCAACCUGGGAACUGCAUUUGAAACUGAGUGACUAGAGUUUAAGAGAGGGGAGUAGAAUUCCGGGUGUAGCGGUGAAAUGCGUAGAGAUCCGGAGGAAUACCAGUGGCGAAGGCGGCUCCCUGGCUUAAAACUGACGCUGAGGUACGAAAGCGUGGGUAGCAAACAGGAUUAGAUACCCUAGUAGUCC
rnacentral:rRNA from 1 species